AUGAACGCUAGCUACAGGCUUAACACAUGCAAGUCGAGGGGCAGCGGUAUCGAAAGCUUGCUUUCGGUAGCCGGCGACCGGCGCACGGGUGAGUAACGCGUAUCGAACCUGCCUCAUACUCGGGAAUAGCCUUGCGAAAGUAAGAUUAAUGCCCGGUGUUUUCAGAGUCCCGCAUGAGGCUUUGAACAAAGAUUUAUCGGUAUGAGAUGGCGAUGCGUCCCAUUAGCUUGUUGGCGGGGUAACGGCCCACCAAGGCAUCGAUGGGUAGGGGUUCUGAGAGGAAGGUCCCCCACAUUGGAACUGAGACACGGUCCAAACUCCUACGGGAGGCAGCAGUGAGGAAUAUUGGUCAAUGGGCGGAAGCCUGAACCAGCCAAGUAGCGUGCAGGAAGACGGCCCUCCGGGUUGUAAACUGCUUUUAGUUGGGAAUAAAACGGGGCUCGUGAGCCCCCUUGCAUGUACCAUCAGAAAAAGGACCGGCUAAUUCCGUGCCAGCAGCCGCGGUAAUACGGAAGGUCCGGGCGUUAUCCGGAUUUAUUGGGUUUAAAGGGAGCGCAGGCGGGCCUUUAAGUCAGCUGUGAAAUACGGCGGCUCAACCGUCGAACUGCAGUUGAUACUGGAGGUCUUGAGUGCACACAGGGAUGCUGGAAUUCAUGGUGUAGCGGUGAAAUGCUCAGAUAUCAUGAAGAACUCCGAUCGCGAAGGCAGGCAUCCGGGGUGCAACUGACGCUGAGGCUCGAAAGUGCGGGUAUCAAACAGGAUUAGAUACCCUGGUAGUCCGCACAGUAAACGAUGAAUACUCGCGGUUUGCGAUACAAUGUAAGCCGCCAAGCGAAAGCGUUAAGUAUUCCACCUGGGGAGUACGCCGGCAACGGUGAAACUCAAAGGAAUUGACGGGGGCCCGCACAAGCAGUGGAGUAUGUGGUUUAAUUCGACGCAACGCGAAGAACCUUACCAGGCCUUGACAUCCCUUGCAGAGGUAUAGAGAUAUAUCCGAGGUUAUCAAGGAGACAGGUGGUGCAUGGUUGUCGUCAGCUCGUGUCGUGAGAUGUUGGGUUAAGUCCCGCAACGAGCGCAACCCCUAUUGUUAGUUGCUACGCAAGAGCACUCUAGCGAGACUGCCGUUGACAAAACGGAGGAAGGUGGGGAUGACGUCAAAUCAGCACGGCCCUUACGUCCGGGGCUACACACGUGUUACAAUGGGCGGUACAGAGGGCAGCCACUGCGCGAGCAGGAGCCAAUCCUCAAAGCCGUUCUCAGUUCGGACUGGAGUCUGCAACCCGACUCCACGAAGCUGGAUUCGCUAGUAAUCGCGCAUCAGCCAUGGCGCGGUGAAUACGUUCCCGGGCCUUGUACACACCGCCCGUCAAGCCAUGAAAGCCGGGAGCACUUGAAGGCCGUGACCGCAAGGGUCGGUCUAGAGUGAUACUGGUAAUUGGGGCU
rnacentral:rRNA from 1 species